UUAAAGACUUUUAGUUAAAUUUUCCCGAAAUAAAAGGAGCUAAUUAAACAAUGGCUUUUUGUUGCAAAACAUAGUUUUUAUUUUCAAUUAGGUGUGAAAGGCUAGUCAAUUUUUAUGAUAUCUGGAUUUAGCUAUAAUGUAUUUAGUACAGGCAUUGUGCUGAUUAAGCCCCUGUUAAGGGGGGCUUAUAUAAGGAACUUACAUAGUAUUUUUGUUUUAAAUAACUUGUUAUAACUUACUAUUAGCAAUUAAUGCUUUUGUUUUAUUUCUUUUUACUUAGCUAUUAAAUAUUUAAAUAAUUAAAUUUUUUAAUAAUGUUAAAAUAAGUAUUUUAAAUUAACUCUUACUAAGGAACUCGGCAAAAAUUUUGCUCAACUGUUUAUCAAAAACAUAGUUUUAUGGAGUUUUAUAAAAUGAAACCUGCCCAAUGAAAUUUUAAUGGCCGCAGUACUUUAACUGUGCUAAGGUAGCAUAAUAAUUUGGCUUUUAAUUAAAGUCUGGUAUGAAAGGAUUAAUGGGUAAAACCUGUCUUGUUUGAUUUUAAAAAAAUUACUAAGAAGGUGAAAAUUCCUUUAGUUAGCCAAUAGACGAGAAGACCCUAGGAGUUUUAGUUUUGUUGGGGCGACAUUUAAGUAAAUUAACCUUUACAGCUGUUAUAACGAUUAUACUAAUAAUAAUUAAACUACCCUAGGGAUAACAGCAUAAUUUUUUAAAAGGUUGUGACCUCGAUGUUGG
rnacentral:rRNA from 1 species